CCCACCAUGUUUGCUGCUCUUUCUUCUCCUUCUUCUCCCCUCGUUAUUUAAAUUUUUUCUUCAUAAGGUUUUUUUCAUAUGGUUUUCUACUUAUGAAUUUUCUAUGACUGUGCAACUUUCUAAGAAAAAAUAAAAAUAGAAAAAUAUGAGGGAAGAAGGAGAAGAAAGAGCGGCAACAUGAUGGG
rnacentral:miRNA from 1 species